GACACAUACAUCGAGUCAGCUAAACAAAUACAAACUACACGGCCAACUAUUUAACAAGUUACAAACUUACUUUCGCAGAUGUUUACAAAGAAAACGAAGACGACAACCAAGAUCAGUGAAAUCACCUAAACAAAAAAGCAUAGUAAGUUACAAACUCUGAUAAAUACAAAUAACAAUGAUUUUUGUUUACAUAUUACCCUUCAAAUAAAAGAGAAACAAAUACAACCAUACCAAGAGAUACAAGAGACAUUAAUCCCGACAGACACAAAUGUGGCAACAACAUCUCCACCUGCUCACUCCUCUUGUCUUAUGAAAAUAGCUUACAUGCCCAAUGUCAACAUGCCAAUGCUAUUGUCUUCUUAUGAGAAAUACAUAAAUUCGUUUAAAACCUUUAAGGCUCAAAUACUUAAAACUGUCACUCAUUUUAUAGUUAUUUCUACAAGUUUUCAUGUAUUUGUUUUAAAGGUCUGAUAAAAAAACAAGUUUAAAAAGAAAAUAAAAACAUAUAACAAACAUAAUAAGGAUAAUAAAAAUUAGUAUUUAAUACACACAACUUACACAACUAAACUAGAGAAAACAAAUAUCCAGAAACAAAAUGUACUAUCUACAACCUUAAUAUAAUUUAUGUACUCUCAACAGUACAAAAAAACAAAUAAAAAAGACAAACAAACUAUAAGUUUCAGUGACACAACAAACAACACCACAAACUAUAUCAAUUAUAUUAGUAACACAAUUUAGUUUUUCAUAAGUAGAGAACAAUGCAUAUACAGUUCAUCAUCACAAUUUUAAUCCUAUAACAAUAAAUAUUUUAAAAAACAAUGAUCAAUCCAAAACGAAAAAUUAAUAACUACCAUAAUCCUAGCAAAUAUUGAGAUGAAACAAAAACUACGUCCGGGGAGACAAUGCCUUUAGUAUAUAAUUAAAGUAACAAACUCAAUUUCAGAAUGUAUGAAAUUUGAAUUAAUCUGAACUAAGUUUAAUUCGUUUUUAAACUAUACGUAUCAUAGAGUUUAUUCUGAAAUGAUGCAAGAGCUGAGCAAAAUAAAUGGCAGAUAAAAAUUUCGACUCUGAAACCUCUUUUGUCAAUUCAUAGCAAAUGUGGGCCCAAUCUUCUGAACCUCUUUUAAAUAUAAUUGGCCACUAGUGACCAGUCCGCCAAUAAUUCCACAUUGUUUAUCUGUUUCUGUCGUUACACUUUACAUAUGUUAGAUCAUUAUUAUCAUUCACAUGUUAUUAAUUUAUGAGAGCUUUACGUAUAUAGGUACUUUCGGCUUCCACUUUUACAGUUUAACAUACUUGUAGCUGGUGGUGUACUUUGUGUCUUACUUUUGAAUUAUUGUGACAAAAAUGCCCUUUACGAAAAGUCUCGUGACUAGUUGGUAGGUUUCUGGAGUCUUGUGCUUUUAUAGUGACAAUUGAAUUAGUGCAAAUUAAAUUUGAUCCGAUGGAUGUGUGUUUCGUGGUACAUAAGAAGUUUUUUUUAUUUUGUGUUUAACUGUAUAGUAAAUUUUUUUUAGUUAUGCAUAUUAACGUAAUGUAUGGUUGAUUUGGGAAUGAGUUGUUAUGUUAUAAUAGAAGGUGCAGUUAGUAAGAACAUACAUUUGUGGUCAAGAUCAUAGUAUAGGUAUGAUCAUUAAAAAAUUGUGGUCAUUUCAUUGAGAUUCAUAAUUUGUUUUUUAAUAACUUUUUGCUGACCAUUACAAUUCAAUAAUUGUGGUUAUGGAGAAAUUAUUUUAUAAGCAAGUAUGGUUAUAAAAUUUGGUUCAUUGGCUUAUUGAUGUGGUUAGGCAAGUGUGGUUAUAAGCUUUGGAUCUUUUUCUUUUCUUCCAGCUUUCUCACCUCUCGUUUUGAAUCUCACCGUCCAUUAAACAAAAAAAAUCAAAAUAUAGAGGAAGAAAAUCAUAAAUCCACCAUAUUUAUGAUUAAAAGGUAUAUGGCAUCACUAUUCUUCGCUUAACCUUUGGUUUCAUUAUCUUUCAUCUCGAUAUCUACGAGCAAGAAAAAAGUGAAGAAUAGAAGGUGACUCAGAUCUGACUCAACGACGCGGUGAGAGCGAGCGAACUUCACCUAUGAACGUUAAGCUUCCUUGAAAUCUAACGCUUCCACCGUCGAAGAAAACUUUGUCAUCAUCACUUCCAACUGAAUCGCCUCUUUAAAUAUUUUUUUAUUUUUUGGAUUCUUUUCUCGUGAAAUAAAAAUUUGUAUUGAAGAAUAAAAGGAAAAAAAGAGAAAGGUAAAGCUUCACAAAGAGUUGGAUCACGAUAAAAGUAAGGGAAAUAGAAAGAUAAUUAAUUUCAGGGGUAAUUUAGACAAUAGCACGUACAAAAGUACUUGACAUGGGAAAAGUAUGCUAAAGUGAUAUAGAGUAGAGAUAAAGUAUGUCUAAGUGUAAAUUUUUCUUAAUUUAUCUACAUGCAUUGGACUGGACAGUCUUUAUUUGUCACUAUACUCGCUACUGUAAUUUGUGGUGCAUUAAAUUUUACAGAUGUUCC
rnacentral:lncRNA from 1 species